UUUGCCUUUCCACCACGAACUUGCCUUACAUUUUGGUUCGGACGCCUGUUUCAGUAUCUCUCAGCUUUCUAACUACUUUUUGCCUUUUGACUAUGAACCCGCCUAAUGUUUUGGAUUGGACACCUGCUUUAGUAUCUACAUUCUCCUUUGUCUGCAUAGGAUCCUCAGAUCUCACCAUUUGGAUUCCUUAUACAGAUGAGCAUUUACAAAAUACUAACUAGAGAGGCAUGAAUAAACCCUGAGAAAUCCUGAGUUUUCUUGACUUCAAUUACAGUAUGAGUUACAAAUAUGGUCUGUACAUAAACAAUAUUAAGGGUUUUCAAAGUAUGUUUUAGAACUAUUUUAAGCAACACACAUUGUUGAAUCUGUAAAUCUUUCUGUUAUGUUUUCUGUUCCAUUUUCAGUUGAGUGGUAAUAUACAAUUCUGCUUGAAGUGGAGAGUACCUGAGAAAGAUGGGUAUAAUGAAUACCAGUCAUCCAGAAGGAUAUAGGACAUAGAAUAGGAACAUGAGACCAUCAGAACACAAGAAUACAUGAUCAUAAGUGUAUGAGAACCUACUGUACACAUAUAAAUACAUAAGAGCAUAAGAACAAAAAAACAGAAGAACUAUGUAAGUAGUCUUACAUAUGUUCACUUGCUUAAUUGCUUGGAAUUGUCACCCGGGUUUGCUUUUGGAUAUAAUGGGCUUAGUACAGUAUGUUGUUAGUAUGAUUAGUACCUGUAUGUCAAAGAAGACUAGACAAAAAGGGUUUGACAGUAGACCACCCUGGGUUAGAAGAGAUUUGCUAUUGGGUAUGUAACAUUAGCUUUUCGAGAAAGAUUCACAGGUUGUUUAAUGUUUUCUAAGUGAGUUAAUUUUUUUUGUUCUUUCUUUUAAAUGGAGCUACAAAUUCUUCUGGAUUUAUAGGAUAAUUCUGUAGUGAUGCAUUGGUUUGUAUGCAAAGGCCUCCUGAGUGAUGCUAUCACAGACGGAACUCUUUCAUUAUACAUAUGCAUUAUAAGUUCUAUUGAUUCUUUGAUUCAUUCUGGCUUUUCCUCCUUUCAGGACAACCAGAUAAUCAUUUAAUCUGGAUUGUAAGUGGUGGAUUAUUAUUUCUUGUGGCUGCUAUAGUUCUGACAUUCUGCUUCUUCAAACACAAGAGGAACAAAGGGGACAGUAGAAGGGCUUCGGAACAACAUGGAAACUAUUCUAAUUGUGCUGUCUAUGAGACCAUCAAUAAAGAACAUCAGACUUCAAUGCAGUUGGGGGAAGAAGAGAGUUUUGUGUUUUAUGCCACUGUGAAACACGACAAAUACCCUCAUAAACUGGCACAGAAAGCAGAAUUUACUGACAAAUGUGUCUAUUCCACUGUAGUAAGGCACUGAGAAGCAGCAACCCAGAAACAACACACUGGAGGAAGAGAACUUUCAGUCUUCAAUCAGAGCAUAAUGGACUUUUAAACAGUGCAGUGGAGUUAAUCAAUUUCUCCGUCAGUUAAUGAUCUACUUUAUAUGGUUCUGUCUUAGUCCUGAAGUGAGCACUUUGUUAUUGGCAGAUUUAGAAAAGGUAAUCAAAUUUGCUUAGCCCAGCAACAAAAUAAUAUUUACAGUAUGACAUUCUUAAAUGGGUAACUGUUAUUUUCUUUUUAUUUUAACAGCAUGCACAUGUUUUGAGUUACUGUAUAAAAAUCCAGUCUUGGGAGGAAUAUGUUCUACUUUUGUCACCUUGCUACAUAAUUACAGUAUACAGUAUACUAAUUACUGUGAAUGUCAGUACUAUACAGUGGACAUUGUUAUCAACACUGAAGAGGAUGGUUAUACUAGAUCUUAUAGUGUCUCACAAAUGUCUUUAGACUCCUGCACCAUUUUCAUAUUUUGAUGCUUUAAAACUUGCAGUCAUGAAACUUUGAAAUCACAAUUGAUAUUUGAAAUGUGCACAUAUGUGUAUAUCUACUCCACACAUUCAAAGCAAAAAAAAAACAAACAAAGAGAAAAUAUGAAAAAAUAUAUAAAAA